AUUGAACGCUGGCGGCAGGCCUAACACAUGCAAGUCGAGCGGUAGAGAGAAGCUUGCUUCUCUUGAGAGCGGCGGACGGGUGAGUAAUGCCUAGGAAUCUGCCUGGUAGUGGGGGAUAACGUUCGGAAACGGACGCUAAUACCGCAUACGUCCUACGGGAGAAAGCAGGGGACCUUCGGGCCUUGCGCUAUCAGAUGAGCCUAGGUCGGAUUAGCUAGUUGGUGGGGUAAUGGCUCACCAAGGCGACGAUCCGUAACUGGUCUGAGAGGAUGAUCAGUCACACUGGAACUGAGACACGGUCCAGACUCCUACGGGAGGCAGCAGUGGGGAAUAUUGGACAAUGGGCGAAAGCCUGAUCCAGCCAUGCCGCGUGUGUGAAGAAGGUCCUCGGAUUGUAAAGCACUUUAAGUUGGGAGGAAGGGCAGUAAAUUAAUACGUUGCUGUUUUGACGUUACCGACAGAAUAAGCACCGGCUAACUCUGUG
rnacentral:rRNA from 1 species